CCAUCAGAGCUAGAAGGGAACUUGGUAGACAUGCAAAUUCUUGGUCCCCACCUCAGAUCUACUGAAUCA